CCUACGGGGGGCAGCAGUGAGGAAUAUUGCGCAAUGGGGGAAACCCUGACGCAGCCACGCCGCGUGGUGGAUGACACCCCUAUGGGGCGUAAACACCUUUUAUGAGAGAAGAAGUCCCUAUUCGUUAGGGUUUGACGGUACCUCAUGAAUAAGCACCGGCUAACUCCGUGCCAGCAGCCGCGGUAAUACGGAGGGUGCAAGCGUUGUCCGGAAUCACUGGGUGUAAAGGGUGUGUAGGCGGAGCUGUAAGUCAGAGGUGAAAUCCUGCGGCUCAACCGUAGAACUGCCUUUGAUACUGCAGCCCUUGAAUAUCGGAGAGGUUACUAGAAUUCGUGGUGUAGCGGUGAAAUGCGUAGAUAUCACGAGGAAUACCAGAGGCGUAGGCGGGUAACUGGACGAUUAUUGACGCUGAGGCACGAAAGCGUGGGGAGCAAACAGGAUUAGAUACCCCCGUAGUC
rnacentral:rRNA from 1 species